ensembl:ncRNA F47E1.14 ncRNA
AUGGGAUCGGCGAACGUGGCUGUCAUGGGCGGCAUGGGAGGCAAAUGCUUUUCCACAAUGAGCACACUGAAA